GGGACACUGCGCGGAACAUGGGGAGGGGCCGAGAGCUGAAGGUUAGUCUCCUGCUUUCUACCUAAAAAGAGCCGGAAGAUUGCAGUGAGAAAAGCACCUUUAACUCUACGGGAGGUUUGAAUCAAGGAUGAACAUAUUCCCUCCUUGCCCCAUUCUUUCCUUCUAAAACUCCUAGUUAUACCUUCCUAUGUCCAGGAAGAUGUGUGAAGAUAUUGAAGCCAUCCUAAUCUAAGUGAUCUUCAGGUUAAGAAAUGGUGAUACAAGAUGAUGAAUGUGGAAAUAUGUUUUAUAUGAUUGCACAUGUAUAAUCUAUAUCAGAUUG